rnacentral:lncRNA from 1 species
GCUGGCAGAGCUGAGCUAUGGCGUCAUCCACGGCACUUCCAUGUCUUUAACAGCUUUGAAUGGUGGUUCCACACUCCGGAAGCCGAUGCAGGAACGGGAAGCAUCUAGUCCCAGAAGGAGAGACUCAGAGCCAGAUUCCCAGGGCUCAACCCCACAACCAUCCCUGCAGUGGACCACCAACGUCUAGGGGAAGGAUAUUCUGUUUUGUCACACAACUUCCCAUGUACGUCUGCAGAGAUGUGCAGGCGAGUCAAUGGCAGUACUAGAUUCACAACACUUCGUCAAUCCAACUUCUGCACAAUACAGCUGAAAGAUGGGAGAAGUGGCCUAAAUGUCUGCUCCUUACUUCCCAUGUAGGACAGACCCUAAAUAACCUAGAAAAACAUGUCUACUUUUUCUUUCAAAUCUCCUACAAUCCCUCGAUGGAGUCUAUGUUCUCAGAGCCCUGCUGGCUUCCUAAAGCCUAACUUAAGUUCUUGCAAAUAUAACUGAAAUGCAAUCUUAGGCAAUGUGUCCUUCCAAGUUCUCUCUUCAGAGAGGAAGUACCCGGUGCUACUAUUGAAUAUUGAAGCAGGCCUGGCGGUGAGAGACGGCUGGGCCCGGGUAUGGGGAGAGAGAAUUCAUUAUGCUCUUCUCUCUACUUCUGCAUAUGUUCAAAAUCCUCUACAAUGAAGUUUUGAUUUUUAAGUACCAUCUUCGAAACUAAGUCAGAAACUGGUUACAACAGUGACCUUGACAAGGUUCUACAGCACACAAAGGCAAGAUCAUCUAGGGUUUCCUAUUUGAUAAUGCUUCAACUGUUGUCUUUAUGUCAUACAGAAAAAUAAGCCCAAAGACAAUUCAAUAUCUAAUUAGGUGCUUCCAGAUACUCAGGUAUCCAGCCCAAGAUAAAAUACCCCCAAAUAGUUAAGAGGGUUAUGGGACAGGGGUGUCACCUACUGAAAUGGCUGCGCAGUCACCCUACUGUGAAGUUCACCAGGCAGAAAGACCCACCAACACAUUCAUUCAUUCAACAAACAUUUACUAAGCAUCUUAUAAGACAGGUGCUGCUAUAGGUUCUGAGAAUAAAGAAGUGAAAAAAACAAAGUCCCUGCACACAGGGCAGACAAUAAGCAACUAAGUAAAUAUAUGAUACGUCAGAUGGCAAGAAGCAAUAUGGAAAAAUAAAACAAAGGACUGGGGAGAUUUUUUUUUUUUUUUGAGACGGAGUCUCGCUCUGUCACCCAGGCUGGAGUGCAGCGGCGUGAUCUUGGCUCACUGCAAGCUCUGCCUCCCAGGUUCAUGCCAUUCUCCUGCCUCAGCCUCCUGAGUAGCUGGGACUACAGGCGCCCGCCACCACACCCAGCUAAUUUUUUGUAUAUUUAGUAGAGAUGGGGUUUCACCAUGUUAGCCAGGAUGGUCUCGAUCUCCUGACCUCGUGAUCCGCCCGCCUCGGCCUCCCAAAGUGCUGGGAUUACAGGCGUGAGCCAUGCGCCUAGCCUGGACUGGGGAGACUGUUAUUUUUUAUGGAAUGACCAGGGAACACAUUUCUGAUAUUACAACUAAAUCAUGCAAGAAAUGACAGUGAUUUGAUACCAGGAGGGUUAUAAAAAUAGUCAAUAUUUACAUGUUGCUUACAAUGUUCCAGGCAGUAUUCUAAACUCUUCCAAUUCCAUAACAACUCUUUGAGGUAGGUAGUAUCAUUAGCCCCAUUUUAUGUUAUUAUUAUUUUUUUUUUAGAGACACAGUCUUGCUCUGUCACCUCGGCUGGAAUCAGUGGUAUAAUCAUAGCUCACUGCAGCUUUGAACUCCUGGGCUCAAGCAAUCCUCCCACCUCAGCCUCCCGAGUAGCUGGGACUACAGGUGUGCACCACCAUGCCCAGAUAAUUUUUUAAUUUUUUGUAGAGACAGGGUCUUACUACAUUGCCCAGGCUGGUCUCUGUCUCUUGGCCUCAAGUGAUCCUCCCACUUUGGCCUCCCAAAGUGCUGAGAUGACAGGCAUGGGCCACCACCCUUGGCUAAUUUUUUAAAAUUUAUUGCAGAGAUGGAGUCUCACCAUGUUGCCCGGGCUUGUCUUGAACUCCUGGCCUCAAAUGAUUCUCCCCACCUUGGCCUCCCAAAGUGCUGGGAAACAGUCAUGAGCCACUGUGCCUGAUGAGCCCCAUUUUAAAAUGAAGAAACGGAGCACUGAAGAGGCAAAGUAACUUCUCCAAGGUCAGACAGUACAUGGUGAGGCUCAGAGUGCAAGCUCUUCCCACUCCAUGACAGAGCAGGGGACGAAAGCAGGUGGAGCCAGGACUUGCUGGCAGAUGUGAGGUGAAGCUGGAGGGAAAAGGGGACAUGGAGCACACCUCCAAUCCAUUUAUUAACUCCCUGCUCUGAAAGAGGAACAGACUUUCAAGUAUCACCUGACAUUUGAAAAACCUCUUAGGUAAAAGACAGUGCCCAACCCAAACAGAUAUAAAGGAACCUGAGGGAAACAGACAAUGCAGGGGCUAAAAAAUAAUAAAAAACAACAACUAUAUUCUCAGAAAUAACAAGAGACAGUAUACUCAUGAGAGGAAAGAGGCUAUUUAAAAAGUGGGAGAGGAGGCCUCCUGGAAAUCAAAUGAAAUUGAAAAAAAUACUUGCACAUAGCAGUAGAACACAGACAAAAAGAUCAACAGAAGUAAAGUAGAAGCUCAUUCCAAAACAUCCAACAAUCUGCUGAUAGAAGCUUUAGAUGGAAAGAACAAAGAGAAGGAAGAGAAUUCUUCCCAAAAAGUGUGUGCAUAUAUACACAUACAUGUGUAUGUCUGUGUGUGUGUGUGUGUGUGUGUAUAUAUGAAAAUUGGCCAGAACUAAAGCACACAACUUUCAAGGUUCAAAGGGCCCAUUGUGCAUCCAUGUUGAUGAAUGAAAUGGAUGAAACGAGACUCAUACCAAGGCACAGCUUUACAACUGUUCAGAUCUAGACACAUAGGAAGUCUUAAAAGCUUCAGACCUCUCAAGAGGCUGGACAGCGGCCACAGAGACACCACUGCAAGACUGGCAUAGGACACAAGGGUUCCAGGACACAACAGCCAAACACACGGAGAGGAGAUUUAAGCUGCUGACAAGGCACCUGGGACGGAUUAAUGAUGUGUUCAUAAAAAACUAACCAAAGAACUGUAAUCAUCACAAACACUAUAGGGUCAGUUGUAAACAAUGUCUGUAGCCAUAAAAAUGUAAAUAAUGAAUGCUGAUUUAAUGGAAAA